rnacentral:rRNA from 1 species
GACGAACGCUGGCGGCGUGCUUAACACAUGCAAGUCGAACGGAAAGGCCCUGCUUUUGUGGGGUGCUCGAGUGGCGAACGGGUGAGUAACACGUGAGUAACCUGCCCUUGACUUUGGGAUAACUUCAGGAAACUGGGGCUAAUACCGGAUAGGAGCUCCUGCCGCAUGGUGGGGGUUGGAAAGUUUCGGCGGUUGGGGAUGGACUCGCGGCUUAUCAGCUUGUUGGUGGGGUAGUGGCUUACCAAGGGUUCGACGGAUAGCCGGCCUGGGAGGGUGACCGGCGACAUUGGGACUGAGGGACGGCCCAGACUGCUACGGGAGGCAGCGGGGGGGAAUAUUGCACAGUGGGGGGAAGCCUGAUGCAGCAACGCCGCGUGCGGGAUGACGGCCUUCGGGGUGUAAACCGCUUUCGCCUGUGACGAAGCGUGAGUGACGGUAAUGGGUAAAGAAGCACCGGCUAACUACGUG